rnacentral:lncRNA from 1 species
UGGAAGUUCCAAAAACGUAAAGCCCGUUCACUACUUUUGCUAAAUGCGGAUGACUUUCCAUGCUUGUAAUGUAUGGAAUCCCGCGUCAAGAUUCGCACAUAAUAGAGAAGACUCUCUGCUCUUCAUGCCAUGAAGGAUUUCUCAACAACAAUAUUAACUUACUAAACAAAAGGUUAUAUUAUAAUUAAAAAUGUGAUUUAACCAGUCAGCUUUGCAAUAAAAGUUCUAGAAAAAUUUGCCCCGCUAAACUUUCGUCUUCUUUCCAUUCAAAACUUACCAAAGAAUUCUUAACCUUUGGUCGACAUGGCUCCUUCAGCCUGCCUAGUUCCCAAGUGCUCAAGUUUCCUCCUCAACUCCUCCCUCGCCAUCCCUCACCACGAUCUGUCCACCAGCUCCAUCCCCCGCUCACGAUUGGCCACCCCAGCACCUGCCUGCUCAUGCUCUCCUGGAUCGAAUCCACCUGCAAUGGCUCAGGAAUCUGCUCAGGAAUGCAUCCAUAGAUGUUGGAGAAGUUCCCGCAACAAGCCAUUGCUCAAAAAAGAAUUGCAAAGGCAAGAAAGAUCUAGAACUUACACGCACCCGACCACUUGGCCCUGUGCAGGAUUGCGACUGGUAUCACGAAGCACCAUGCCGUGUCGCUGCUCUCCUGCUAAAUCAAUGUGGAAAUUGUACCUAGUCUCCGGCAAGAGGAUAGGGUCUCGCUGCUUUUGCCCAAGGCAAAGGGUGUAUAUUGCCUGCGAGAGAAGAGGAUUGAAUGACAAGAAGCUAGCCCUCCCUUCCUUGGUGAUUGCUAAGCACAUUAAAUUAAAACAUUGGCUAGUUUAAGAAGUUAGAUAAAUUAUAUUUUUGGAGUGGAAUAUAUUUAAAUAUUCUAGGAUAUUUUACCAUUUAACGGUUAUUAAUUAUUUAGAUUAACUUUGUAUUUAUAAUUUAUAAAUUUUCCUAAACACUUCUUAGUCUAUUCUAGUUUAUUCUAAUAAUUGAUAAACAUGUUUAUAAUUAAAAAAUCUAAUUGAUUAAUUAUAUUAAUAAAAAUAAGAAUAUCACUAUUAUUAAGCAAAAUCGAGCCUAACAAAUUAUUUAUUGAUUAUAAUAUAACUUUUUGUUUAAUAGUCAGUGUGAGGACAUUUAUCACAUCUUCCUGCCGGAAAAGGAUUCGUGCCUCCCCUGGUUUUAGGGUUCUAAGGAAACUCCCUUACAUUCCUGCCUAGCUGCCCGCCGAUGCCCGGGCGUGAUCUGCGACGGCGCGUCGCGGUUCGCGGAGGCGAGAUUCGCGCUGUGCAACAGCUACGAGGAGCCGGAGCCCCACGCGACGCUGGUCAAAUCCAGCUACUUCCCCGGCAUUCUUCGCAGGGGAAUCGACAGCGGUGGAGCGAUCCAGCGAGCACCUGUCUCCCAAGGAUCUGGCGUGCCUGGAGUGCUCGACACACCAGAAGGAAUCCUCCGUGAUCUACGUCUCCUUCGCCAGCGUGGCCACCAUGUCCGCGGAGCAAUUCCAGGAGCUCGCCAGGGGCCUGGAGCGCAGCAACCAGCCAUUCGUAUGGUGCUGCGCAAGACCCUCGUCGCGGAUCCAUCGGUGCACGAUUUCUUCGAGGGAUUGAAGCAGCGGAUUGGCAAGCGCGGGAUCGUGAUUUCGUGGGCGCCGCAAAUGCACGUCUUGCUCCACCCGCAGAUUCCUGACGCACUGCGGGUGGAACUCGACCGUGGAGGGGAUCUGUGCGGGCGUGCCGAUGCUCGCCUGGCCUUGCAUGGCGGAGCAAAACGUGAACUGUAAGGAGCUUGUGGAGCACUGGAAGCUGGCGGUCCCGGUCCAGGAGGAUCGGGAUAAAAGCUCCGUGGUCUCGGUCUCAAGCGAGAGGCUGGCGGAUCUCGUGGUGGAAUUCCUGAGCCCGGGCUCCCAUCUCGCGACCCUUGUCGCCGUUCAGAAUCCUCCUUUGCUUAAGCUUUGAAAGAUUUUUUGGAAGAUAACAACCAUUAUGUAAAGUCAAUAUUUUGAAGAUUAAGAUGAAUCAAUUGGUCGUGAUUCAUGGGCCUACAUUUCUGCAAGUCUUUACGGACAAGAGAAUCUGACACUCUCCUCUCUUUUAAUGAAUGAAUUUUUGGCUUGAGAAACUACGUUUAAAGGUAAACAAGUUUAAGAUUUAUAAACACAGCAUUUCUAGAACCAAAUAUACUAGCAUAUUCUAGGUUCGAAAAGUCUUUCACGUUGCCGUCACCUUUUAGAUUAGGGUUUAAGUUUCAAAUGCACAGCUCACCGUCCUCACAAAUAAGAUCUAAUCUUCCGCAGCCACAUGAAUUUUCAUUCUUAUCCAUGGUGCUGCCCAGCAUUUUUCCUCGACGUCCUGCCCAAGUGCAACAAGGAGUUAAGUAUAAUUUGUGGUGCCUCCAGGUUUUGUCUUGAUUGAUUCUCUCUGGAAAACUUGCAGGCAGCGCACAAGAAAAGAAACCACCAAUUCUUGGCUGGAAGCAAGAGGUUACGUUACAACACAUCCCCGAGCCACCUGAUUGUGAUGCUCCCGUUCACUGUCCGCCUCCGGAGCCGUGCAUCAGCCAUGUGAGAAUGUUCUGUUAAAUCCUUCUAUCUCCUUGCCACUGGAGCAUAAAUAUCAUAAAUUUCUUGUCUAGGACGGGAUGAUUCUCCAGGAAAGGAUUGCAGCGAGGCGUGCUGCAAUUGCCAGCUCCAAAAAUGUGAAAAUCCCUCUCUUCAAGAGGCAUUCCAUCGCCCUCUGAGCUUUGAAAUGAAUAAAAAUCUUAAUGUAGUUAGCUAAAAUCAUUAAAUUUAAAUAAAAGAAGAGUAAGAAACAAGUCAUCCGUUGUAGUCUAGUCGGUCAGGAUACUCGGCUCUCACCCGAGAGACCCGGGUUCAAUUCCCGGCGACGGAAUUGUUUUUUUUUUUGGAAUAGUAUAAAGAGGUAUAGCUGAUUAAAGUAACAAAAGAGAAAGUUUCUCCGUGAUUAGAGUAACCUUCCAUUCACCAAAUAAUUUUUAAUGGCCUACCUAAUUCCCAAGCGCCCAAGUUCCCUCCUCAGCUCCUUCCUUGCCAUCACUCACCAUGCCACUGCACGAUCUGUCCACCAGCUCCAUUCCCCGCUCCACCCCAGCGCUCAUGCUCUCCAGCAUCGAAUUCCACCACCUGCAAUGGCUCAGGAAUCUGC